rnacentral:rRNA from 1 species
GAUGAACGCUGGCGGCGUGCUUAACACAUGCAAGUCGAACGGGAAACCUUUUAUUGAAGCUUCGGCAGAUUUAGCUGGUUUCUAGUGGCGGCCGGGUGAGUAACGCGUGGGUAACCUGCCUUAUACAGGGGGAUAACAACCAGAAAUGGUUGCUAAUACCGCAUAAGCGCACAGGACGGCAUGGUCCGGUGGGAAAAGGUCCGGUGGGAUGAGAUGGACGCGCGUUGGAUUAGCUAGUUGGCAGGGUAACGGCCUACCAAGGCGACGAUCCAUAGCAGGCCUGAGAGCGUGAACCGUCACAUUGGGGCUGAGACACGGCCCAGACUCCUACGGAAGGCAGCAGUGGGGAAUAUUGCACAAUGGGGGAAAACCUGAUGCAGCGACGCGGCGUAAAGGAAGAAGUAUCUCGGUAUGUAAACUUCUAUCAGCAGGGAAGAUAGUGACGGUACCUGACUAAGAAGCCCCGGCUAACUACGUG